GGAAGGACGCCUGCGGCCUACCCCCUCAUUUCUGGGGACCCCUGGAUCAUCCUCUCUGGAAGGAGCCGGUGCCUGUGGCUGCAGGUAUGAGGUGACCUUGACCCAGUCCCACGUGGGUGAAGGAAGCUGGCUUGGAACAGGGCAGGCGGCUGGAGGCCCCGUGAUGCCCACCUGGUGCCCAGUGAGCCUGGUGUGAGAGGGGCGAUUAAAUGCUGAAAGGAGGUUCCUGUGUCACCUCUGUGGUCCUGGCACAGGUGGUGAUGAAGGCAGGAGGGGUCGCGGCCUCGCCCUCCCUGCCUCCAGCCGAGGGGCGGCGCUGCUGGCAUCCACGCGUCUCCCCCUUCGCUCUGCACGGAGCCUGAGCGAGGCGUUGUCAGCGAGGCCCCGGGGCCCGCAGAGGUUGAGCACUACGGCCAACAUCACACAGCCGUCUCCUCCGCGGGGCCACACGCACCCUUACUCGAGUGGCUACUGCCAGUCGUUCAGUGGCUCCUGGGAGAAAAACACGAGGUUGGGAGGCUGUGAGUUCACCAGGGUGAGAUGUGUUCACGUGAAAUAAGGAUAAAAGCACAUGUUUCAGGAGGCCGUAGAGUCCAGGGGCGUAAGCGGGACAAGAGCAGCGGGCUCACUGUGUGUGAGGCCGGCUCCCACCCGCCUGGGGCCGCCUCCCACCCCGCCUAGGGCCGCCAGCUCCGCCCACUCAGCCGGAGCCGUCUCCACCCUAGGGCCGGUCUGACACUGCCCGGACGGGGUGGGGGCACCCACGGCUCCAGGAGAAGGGCUGCAUCAGAGGGUGAGCCACGCGAGGAUGAUUCCUGCUCCGGAUUCCUAGCCGGCCUGACCAGGCACGAAUUCAGACCCACUCAGUGUAUCCUCCAAGGCAGUUAAUCAGGGCCUUAAUAACUGGCUCCCCAUGACGCAUGCUGGGUAAUUAUCUGCUAACUUCUCCAGCUGGCCGGUGCAGAUGCUGCGGUGGAGCGGAGGGAGCGGCAUCUGCAGGAGGUACAGCAGUGAAGCAGGAACCACACCUUCACGGUGCUGCCCUCUGCAGCCCAGCGGCCACGAAGGACCUGCCACCUGAGUGUCCAGACACCACCGGGGGCUUCACACCUCAGGAUAGCACUCACCACGUGAGCACACAGACACCGGGCUGGGGCUUCACACCCUGAGGACAGCUUCCCCACCAUGUGAACAUCCAUAGACCACCCUGAGGCUUCACACCUGAGUGCAGCCUCCUCCACGUGAAUACUCAGACAUCACACUGGGGCUUCACACCUGAGGACAGCGUUCAUCACGUGCAGCCCUGCUGACUGGCUCCUUGAACCCAGAGGACUAUCUGCAUGCUUUUGGUUCUUUGCAUCCUUUUGUCAGAGAUGUGGAGAACGUCGGGACUGUCGGGGGCACACUCAAGACCCUAGUGAUGCUCUCACGGCCCUCGGCCUGCUGCCCCUCCCGAGCCCACGUUCCCUCCCUGCACUCCAGGGUCUCUGUCUACAAGAGGCAGAUGCGUGGAGCUCACUCCUCAGAGGGCUGCAGUGGACAGACCGUCUCCAUGCACGGGAAGUGCCCAGCACCUGGCUGUCUCUGCACCCAGCCAUGCCGUAGCCUACCCUGGAGGUUCUCAGAACAUCUUCAUCCGCCAGCUCGAGGCUGUUCCUCCUCCAGGACAACCCAUGCCCGUGUCCUGGAGUGAUGUGUGUCAUCUGUGGAAAAAUUAUUUUGACUUGUACUGUGUAUUACUCAUGAAGAGAGCCUUCCGAGGAUGCGUGUGAGCCUGAACUGUGAUGGAAAGGUAACUCCACCCUCCCUCUUAAGCUCCUCUGAUCCUCCGGGUGACUGGGUGGGGAGAUGGGACCACCUCUGCCCUGAGCCAUGAGAGCUGGAGAUGAGGGCGAGCUGGUUUCUCCUCUGCAGCUGCUCAUGCUCUGAGCAUCAGGAAUUUGAAAACCUAAGCAUUUGUUGGCUGCAGAUUUUACCUCUUGAACAUGUUUUUUUCAUUAAACUUUUCACUGUCAGAUAA